GAUGAAGAACGCAGCGAAAUGCGAUACGUAAUGUGAAUUGCAAAUUCAGUGAAUCAUCGAGUCUUUGAACGCACAUUGCGCCCCCUGGUAUUCCGGGGGGCAUGCCUGUCCGAGCGUCAUUGCUGCCCUCAAGCACGGCUUGUGUGUUGGGCCCCGUCCUCCGAUCCCGGGGGACGGGCCCGAAAGGCAGCGGCGGCACCGCGUCCGGUCCUCGAGCGUAUGGGGCUUUGUCACCCGCUCUGUAGGCCCGGCCGGCGCUUGCCGAUCAACCCAAAUUUUUAUCCAGGUUGACCUCGGAUCAGGUAGGGAUACCCGCUGAACUUAAGCAUAUCAAUAAGCGGAUGA
rnacentral:misc_RNA from 1 species